AACGAACGCUGGCGGCAGGCUUAACACAUGCAAGUCGAACGGGCAUAGCAAUAUGUCAGUGGCAGACGGGUGAGUAACACGUGGGAACCUUCCUAGAGGUACGGAACAACGCAGGGAAACUUGUGCUAAUACCGUAUACGCUCGAGAGAGGAAAGAUUUAUCGCCUUUAGACGGGCCCGCGUAGGAUUAGGUAGUUGGUGAGGUAACGGCUCACCAAGCCUACGAUCCUUAGCUGAUCUGAGAGGAUGAUCAGCCACACUGGGACUGAGACACGGACCACACUCCUACGGGAGGCAGCAGUGGGGAAUCUUGGACAAUGGGCGCAAGCCUGAUCCAGCCAUGCCGCGCGAGUGAAGAAGGCCUUCGGGUUGUAAAGCUCUUUUACCAGGGACGAUAAUGACGGUACCUGGAAAAUAAGCCCCGGCUAACUUCGUGCCAGCCGCCGCGGUAA
rnacentral:rRNA from 1 species